AGUCUUGUCACAAAAUAUUAAACCUGGACCUGAUCAAGCAUCUGGACUGGCUUAUGGAUAUAGAGAAAAUGUAGGGGAUAGAUGAGCACGGGAAAUGUCUCCGUGGGGCAAAUUUCACAAAAUUCAGAUUGUUGGACACUCUCUAGGACAAAAGGUCUAGAUUCUUCAAAAACAACAACAUCGAAAAAAAAAAAAACUGCCAGAAAGAAAAAAUACAGAGGAAGAAGGACACAGAACACAUUUAUGAGUCUUUUCACCCUCAUUUCGUUGAAGAUUUUAUUGGCCGAAGAACCCUCUGUAGGCACAAAAUUCAUUCUCACAAGCAGAGAGAUGCAUUAUGCUCCAUUUAUUGCUCAUCCUAAAUUAUAAACAUUUCCAGUGAAUGUAAAGGAAGAUAUGAUUGAAAAGGACUCUGUGAAGACAGGAUGUUUCUGUACAGUCCUUGUAUCUGCUCACCUAUUCCAAACUUUCCAGAGAUUUUACCAGAGGUUUAAGACAUUCUCCUGAGGGUUUGCUGUAGAGGGAUUUUUCUUAACUAAGGAGUGCAAGUAGCAAGCAAUAGCCCACCCAGUUGGAGACAAAAAAGAAGGGUGUCAGUGUUCCCAGUGUUAAAAAACAAAAAAAAAAAAUCACCCUAGACACCUCUGAGAAUUAUACAAGAGGAUGUACACAGCCCCGCUUUAUUUGAGUUCAAAAGGAAGGUGGGUUUUGAAAGAAGAACAAGGAGAGUAGAUCUCUCUGGAUCUUCUGAUGCUCACAGCAAAGAGCUCAAGGUAUCUGAGUCAACUCUUGAGGCUUCUUUGAACAGAGGGAUGAAGAGAGAAUAUGGCAAGCUUGCCAACAGAUCCCAGAAGUUUUAAGAGAAAAGAACAGAUUGCUCUUUGCAAAACAAACCGAGCUGGGUGCAUGGAGCCCCAGUAGACAGAAAGUGAAGAAAACAUCAACGUUCUGAAAUUUUAGAUAGGUGCACCAUCCCUUAUGGAUACCGAUCUGUGCUCCCCAUAAACUUCUGUGCCCAGGGUCAACUGGCCAGGGACAACUGGCUCACCAGGAGGCCUAUAUAUCCUCUUCUUCAGGCCCUAAUUACAGCUCUAUGCAAUAGGGAUUCUGCCAUCUAACAGCCAAGGAGGUGGUUCAGUUUCUGCACAUGGUUUUUUCUGCUGGGUCCCUUGAGGUCCAUGGUAACUUCUUCCUCAUUCUCUACAGGCAGAUCACACUUUGUAAUAAGAUCAGAGGCAGAGAACUUUGACCAGAUCACACUUUAUAAUAAGAUCAGAGGCAGAGAACUCUGACCAGAUCACACUUUAUAAUAAGAUCAGAGGCAGAGAACUUUGACAACUACCUCCUUGCCCUCUGGCCCUGGGGUCAGGGCUACUCAAACAACACCUGCUGUCCCAAACCCGGAGAAGUGUAGAUUUUGGCACUGGUAGAGGAAUAACAGCUAUUGUUGACACUUGAUCUUGUGGGCCUGGAAUUUCCACUGUGUUUUCACAACUUGGAGCCUAUUGCUGCCACCUCUGUCAGGGAAGAUAAAUGGGCAUGAAUAAUAGACAGACGAGUUUCCCAAAAGCCCAGACAGGCUGCAGGGAACACGUAAUGAGCAGACAGUGUGGUUCAUGCCGGGGAGCCCAGGUUUAUCCAGGCCUCAUCCUCACUCCCUUUCUCUACUGAUAAUUGGACCCAACAGGACCAUUCCGAAUCAUUUUUCUCUCUUCAGUUAUUCUUCAGUUCUACUCAAAGGGUCAGUUUAGGGCAUAAUUAAAGUCAAUUACUUUCUGAAAGGCCAUCAGGACAACCGUUAGAGAAAAUGAUAGCAGCCCCGCAUUUGCUGUAGGAAUUAUUAGCUUGUCAGCCUCCAGGCUUAUGGAGACAAAGGAUCAAAAAGUUAGAGAGAUCCAGGUGUUCACCUAUUUGUUCACUUAUUCUUUUAUUGUGAGUGCGCAUGUGUGUGGGUGGGUGUGACAUUUAUUAUGAACCAGAGGGCAGGAGCCAGCGACACAGUGGUGCAGAGAAUAAUCAUAUUCCCUGCCUUCCUGGGGUCAUACAGCUUGGUGGAGGACACAGAUGUGAAUUCAGUAAUCGCUCCAAUAAAUAUUCUCCUACAGAGGAAGAAAGAUGAUACGAUGUGAUGGACAACAGAGACUUAUAUGGUGGGGUCUGGGCUGGUCUUUCUGAAGCUAAGACUGGCAGGAUGAGCAGGAGUUUGCCAGACAAAGAGGAGUGGAGUUGUUUUCCAAACACAUCUCAGCACAAAGUGUUGUCUUUGCUGGGAGCUGAAAAAAGAUACUGUGGGCAGAGACCAUUAGGUGAGACGCUGGAUAUGAGAUACAACCUCAACAGGUGGAAGAAGAUUGUGAGAGAUGAAGAGAGGAAUAUAGUACAGCAGAGAGGACACAGAAGCUGACGUCAGGGUGUCUCAGUUUGAAACCAGUGGCCACCCUGUUCCUCUCCCAUGUGGUCCCAUCAUGGGCCUCUAGGGUCUGGGAUAAGAGGUUAAUGAAUAUCUCAUACCCUAAGCAGGGGUGGUCCCUGCACUUUAGCAAAAAGUUAAGGAACUAGGGAAAAGAGAUGGAAAUAAUAAAGAGAUGGGACAAAGACUUUGAAGACCAAAGCCCUUGGGCUAUUCUCUUUUUUAGAUUUUUUAUUUAAAUUUUCAUUUAUUUUUAUCAAGAUAGGGUCUCACUAUGUUGCCCAGGUUGGUCUCAAACUUCUGGCCUAAAGCAAUCCUCCCACCUUGGCCUCCCAAUGUGCUGGGAUUACAAUGUGUGCCACCACGUCCAGCCUCCUGGGAUAUUUCUCAACGAAACGUUGGAUGCCAAGAUUGGUUUUGUGCCACAUGCCAAUUUCACAGAAGCCAGUCUAUGAGCCACCAGCUCUACUCAGCAAUUACAGCUUCUGGAACUUUGGCUAAAUUCCUGUAGAUGCACCACUGCUUGUGGCCUGACUCUUUGCCACCCAAGUGCGCUCAGCCUCCCCUGGGGAGUCUGCCAGGCUUGCAUGGCUCCCACUGCACUUGCUGUGCUGGGACCGAAAACAGUUUUUGUGCCCCUAGCUUAACUCCACUGGAUUCAUAGAGGCUUUGGCCUCCUCAGUGGCUGUCCUGGGACAGGGAGGCUGGUUAGCACAAUUAACACAACCUGGUCAUGCAAGGCAUUGAUGGUCCGUAACAUGAACUUUGACCAGUAGGAGACAGAGAAUGGAAAAAAGCCAGCAGAUAAAUCAUCUGGCCUUCCUCCACUAUGACGGACUGUUCUGAGCCACAGUAUUUCACAUGUCUUCCUGGAGAUAUCCCACAUGACUUGAGCAACCAGCUGGAGCUCUGGAGAAACUGUGGCCAUCCUGGUAACAUACGACCUUGUAUUUGCUUUCUCUCCUUCCUGCUUUAUUUCCCUAUGUCCCUUACUUUGGUUGUUGGGAUUGCACCUCCCAAUAAAGCAUUAGCAUGUCCGCUCUGCUUGGGGCUCUGUUUCCUGGUUUAAGACUCUGACUCUUGAAUGCUAAGGCAGUAUAUUGAGAAGGAGUUCAGGCUGGACUCAUACCUGGUGAACAAGAGUGCUGUGGUGCAUGAGUGAGUUCUUCCAAAGGUGUGAGAAAAGAUACUCAGUACCUGUCACCCCUGAACUAUUCUUCUAUGGCAAAUGUGUGCUUAAAGUCAGCAGUCCCCUAAACAUACUUGAGAUCACAGAUGAAGCAAAAUCUGACUAUCUCCCAACAUAGAAAAGCACAAUAGGAAAGAAAUAUUUGGUGGUGAGAAGAUUAUAGCUAUAAGCAAAUUAGGCAAUCCAUCUAUGAGACCCAGCAUGCAGUAUGGUAGAAGUUGAAAACAAAAACAUGGAUAAAAUUGCUUAAUGGAUUAUAAUAAUAUGCAUGACUGUGUGCCAGAGGAAGAAACAGGCCCAGAGAAGUUGGGUAACUCAUCAAAGGUCACAGAGCUAAGACUGGCAGAGUAAGGCUUAGAGCCCAGGAAGUCUGGUUUCGAAUUUCAUGCUUCUAACCUGAGCACUGUACUGCUUGGUGGAGUUCUCUGCUAGUCCUACCUUUCAGGCAGAGGUGAUGCAGCGAGAAAGCUGCCACCAGAUGCAGCCCCUUGAUCUUGGACUGCCCAGCCUCUAGAACUGAGUUGAAGAGCAAUUCCCUCCAGUUUCCAUUAGAAAUGCUUCUUCUUCCAUAUCAAAUAUUGUGAGAUAGCCUGAAACACCUCUCAACACUUCAUGACCCUUCUCCAAAAUUCAACAGAUAUGAUUUCCACAGACUUUACUCACGGGGGCUCCAGUAGAAGAGGAAGAGGCCUGGGUUUAAUUGAAGGUGGCCUCAGGCGUCAGUGAGGAGCAGCCCCUUUGGAGACAUAUCCCCUACAAAUGAAGCAUCAGAAUUAUUAUCCUAAUAUGUGGACAUCCAUGGUUCCUUCAGCACCAUCGAAAUGCAGAGACCAUGGGGAGAUGCAGGGAGAGGGCUCUGCACAGCACAGCCAACUUGCCGGGUUGAAGACAGACAACCUCCAUGGAGCAGGGACUUCAAUUAGUUAAU